rnacentral:rRNA from 1 species
GAUCAUUAUUGAAUUCCAAUUGGAUGAGAUAGCUGCUGGCUUUCGGGCAUGUGCGCAUCUUGUUCAUUUACCUCUCACCUCUGUGCACUUUUCAUGGAACAAUCAGUGGUUGUUGGCUUCACGGCUGAUGACUGCAGGUUGCUUCUGUGUGCUUCAUAAACCUUAGAAUCAGUUCAGAAUGUAUAUCAUGUGUUUACACAUUUAAAUACAACUUUCAGCAACGGAUCUCUUGGCUCUCGCAUCGAUGAAGAACGCAGCGAAAUGCGAUAAGUAAUGUGAAUUGCAGAAUUCAGUGAAUCAUCGAAUCUUUGAACGCACCUUGCGCUCCUUGGUAUUCCGAGGAGCAUGCCUGUUUGAGUGUCAUGGUAUUCUCAAUUCUCUUGGUUUCUGCCAAGAUGAUAUUGGACUUGGAGGCUAUUGCUGGCAUCACCUCUGAAGCCAGCUCCUCUUAAAUGAAUCAGUGUGAAUGUUCACUUCAUACUUGGUGUGAUAAUUAUCUACACUAUGUUUGAGUGAUAUAGUUUCAUGCUUCGAAUCGUCGCAAGACACUACUUUGACUUCUGACCUCAAAUCAGGUAGGAUUACCCGCUGAACUUAAGCAUAUCAAUAAGCGGAGGAAAAGAAACUAACAAGGAUUCCCCUAGUAACUGCGAGUGAAGCGGGAAAAGCUCAAAUUUAAAAUCUGGCAGUCUUUGAUUGUCCGAGUUGUAAUCUGGAGAAGUGCUUUCCGCGCUGGACCGUGUACAAGUCUCUUGGAAUAGAGCGUCAUAGAGGGUGAGAAUCCCGUCUUUGACACGGACUACCGGUGCUUUGUGAUGCGCUUUCAAAGAGUCGAGUUGUUUGGGAAUGCAGCUCAAAAUGGGUGGUAAAUUCCAUCUAAAGCUAAAUAUUGGCGAGAGACCGAUAGCGAACAAGUACCGUGAGGGAAAGAUGAAAAGCACUUUGGAAAGAGAGUUAAACAGUACGUGAAAUUGCUGAAAGGGAAACACUUGAAGUCAGUCGCGUUGUUCAGAACUCAGCCUGGCUUUGGCCUGGUGCAUUUUCUGGAUGACGGGCCAGCAUCAAUUUUGACUGUUGGAUAAAGGUUAGGGAAAUGUGGCUUCUUCGGGAGUGUUAUAGUCCUUGGCUGCAUACAAUGGUUGGGAUUGAGGAACUCAGCAUGCCUUUAUGGUCGGGGUUCGCCCACG